GGGUUGUGAGGUUAAGCGACUAAGCGUACACGGUGGAUGCCCUGGCAGUCAGAGGCGAUGAAGGGCGUGCUAAUCUGCGAUAAGCGCCGGUAAGGUGAUAUGAACCGUUAUAACCGGCGAUACCCGAAUGGGGAAACCCAGUGUGAUUCGUCACACUAUCAUUAACUGAAUCCAUAGGUUAAUGAGGCGAACCGGGGGAACUGAAACAUCUAAGUACCCCGAGGAAAAGAAAUCAACCGAGAUUCCCCCAGUAGCGGCGAGCGAACGGGGAGGAGCCCAGAGCCUGAAUCAGCAUGUGUGUUAGUGGAAGCGUCUGGAAAGGCGCGCGAUACAGGGUGACAGCCCCGUACACAAAAGCGCAUGUGCUGUGAGCUCGAUGAGUAGGGCGGGACACGUGGUAUCCUGUCUGAAUAUGGGGGGACCAUCCUCCAAGGCUAAAUACUCCUGACUGACCGAUAGUGAACCAGUACCGUGAGGGAAAGGCGAAAAGAACCCCGGCGAGGGGAGUGAAAAAGAACCUGAAACCGUGUACGUACAAGCAGUGGGAGCACAGGUUUACCUGUGUGACUGCGUACCUUUUGUAUAAUGGGUCAGCGACUUAUAUUCUGUAGCAAGGUUAACCGUAUAGGGGAGCCGGAGGGAAACCGAGUCUUAAUUGGGCGUUAAGUUGCAGGGUAUAGACCCGAAACCCGGUGAUCUAGCCAUGGGCAGGUUGAAGGUUGGGUAACACUAACUGGAGGACCGAACCGACUAAUGUUGAAAAAUUAGCGGAUGACCUGUGGCUGGGGGUGAAAGGCCAAUCAAACCGGGAGAUAGCUGGUUCUCCCCGAAAGCUAUUUAGGUAGCGCCUCGUGAAUUCAUCUCCGGGGGUAGAGCACUGUUUCGGCUAGGGGGCCAUCCCGGCUUACCAACCCGAUGCAAACUGCGAAUACCGGAGAAUGUUAUCACGGGAGACACACGGCGGGUGCUAACGUCCGUCGUGAAGAGGGAAACAACUCAGACCGCCAGCUAAGGUCCCAAAGUCAUGGUUAAGUGGGAAACGAUGUGGGAAGGCCCAGACAGCCAGGAUGUUGGCUUAGAAGCAGCCAUCAUUUAAAGAAAGCGUAAUAGCUCACUGGUCGAGUCGGCCUGCGCGGAAGAUGUAACGGGGCUAAACCAUGCACCGAAGCUGCGGCAGCGACGCUUAUGCGUUGUUGGGUAGGGGAGCGUUCUGUAAGCCUGUGAAGGUGUGUCGUGAGGCAUGCUGGAGGUAUCAGAAGUGCGAAUGCUGACAUAAGUAACGAUAAAGCGGGUGAAAAGCCCGCUCGCCGGAAGACCAAGGGUUCCUGUCCAACGUUAAUCGGGGCAGGGUGAGUCGACCCCUAAGGCGAGGCCGAAAGGCGUAGUCGAUGGGAAACGGGUUAAUAUUCCCGUACUUGGUGUUACUGCGAAGGGGGGACGGAGAAGGCUAUGUUGGCCGGGCGACGGUUGUCCCGGUUUAAGCGUGUAGGUGUGUGUUCCAGGUAAAUCCGGUUCACUUUAACACUGAGGCGUGAUGACGAGGCACUACGGUGCUGAAGUAACAAAUGCCCUGCUUCCAGGAAAAGCCUCUAAGCAUCAGGUAACAUCAAAUCGUACCCCAAACCGACACAGGUGGUCAGGUAGAGAAUACCAAGGCGCUUGAGAGAACUCGGGUGAAGGAACUAGGCAAAAUGGUGCCGUAACUUCGGGAGAAGGCACGCUGACACGUAGGUGAAGUGAUUUACUCACGGAGCUGAAGUCAGUCGAAGAUACCAGCUGGCUGCAACUGUUUAUUAAAAACACAGCACUGUGCAAACACGAAAGUGGACGUAUACGGUGUGACGCCUGCCCGGUGCCGGAAGGUUAAUUGAUGGGGUCAGCGCAAGCGAAGCUCCUGAUCGAAGCCCCGGUAAACGGCGGCCGUAACUAUAACGGUCCUAAGGUAGCGAAAUUCCUUGUCGGGUAAGUUCCGACCUGCACGAAUGGCGUAAUGAUGGCCAGGCUGUCUCCACCCGAGACUCAGUGAAAUUGAACUCGCUGUGAAGAUGCAGUGUACCCGCGGCAAGACGGAAAGACCCCGUGAACCUUUACUAUAGCUUGACACUGAACAUUGAGCCUUGAUGUGUAGGAUAGGUGGGAGGCUUUGAAGUGUGGACGCCAGUCUGCAUGGAGCCGACCUUGAAAUACCACCCUUUAAUGUUUGAUGUUCUAACGUGGACCCGUUACCCGGGUUGCGGACAGUGUCUGGUGGGUAGUUUGACUGGGGCGGUCUCCUCCUAAAGAGUAACGGAGGAGCACGAAGGUUGGCUAAUCCUGGUCGGACAUCAGGAGGUUAGUGCAAUGGCAUAAGCCAGCUUGACUGCGAGCGUGACGGCGCGAGCAGGUGCGAAAGCAGGUCAUAGUGAUCCGGUGGUUCUGAAUGGAAGGGCCAUCGCUCAACGGAUAAAAGGUACUCCGGGGAUAACAGGCUGAUACCGCCCAAGAGUUCAUAUCGACGGCGGUGUUUGGCACCUCGAUGUCGGCUCAUCACAUCCUGGGGCUGAAGUAGGUCCCAAGGGUAUGGCUGUUCGCCAUUUAAAGUGGUACGCGAGCUGGGUUUAGAACGUCGUGAGACAGUUCGGUCCCUAUCUGCCGUGGGCGCUGGAGAACUGAGGGGGGCUGCUCCUAGUACGAGAGGACCGGAGUGGACGCAUCACUGGUGUUCGGGUUGUCAUGCCAAUGGCACUGCCCGGUAGCUAAAUGCGGAAGAGAUAAGUGCUGAAAGCAUCUAAGCACGAAACU
rnacentral:rRNA from 1 species